GUUGAAGAUGCACAAAUGGAAGUUGAAAAGCAGCAAAGAAAAAGGUAAUACAGCGCUAGGGUGUUUUAUUCCUCAUGUCCUCUUUUCCUUUCCUUUAUGGGAUUUCCGUUGCAUGUUUCUUGCCCUUUUCCUUUAUUGCAGCUGGGUUUUGCCCUCAGUUUGGCAGAUCAUGACACAGCUUUUCUGCUGAAAUUACAUUUAUCAUUGCACCAGCACUACCACUAUAUAUCUUAGCAACUAUGUACACAUGGGCUUAAGUGAAACUGUCUUAUAUGCCUCCAAGUGAGAUUUAUUACAGCAAGCCUUUGAAAUGCCUGUCUGUCUGUAUUUCAAUCACCCCAUGUAAGACCAAGAUAGUCUCUUAUAUUGAAGUGGCCAGUUAGUAAAAAAAAAUCCUUUGAAUUGAAGAAGUAACCACACAGCAUACUUUUCCUCUCUCUCUCUCUCUUUCACACUCCUAUAUAAUCCUAAUAAUGCCACUUACUGAUUGAUCUAUACCAAAUAGGGUAGAUAUAUUCAAAAGAGGACAGGGCUCCUACACUUUAUAACUUACAUGACAAGCUACAGUAUAUCUGCUGAAAUUCCCCCUUUUCAUAACUAUUUGUUGCACCUGGACACCCUAACACCACAUGCCACUCUAUGAUUUAAAAAAAUGUGUAAGAAAAUCUAUAUCUAAAUAUGUAUUGUAUUACAAAAUAUGAAUUUAAAUACAUAUUUUAUCUCAACAUACCCAUUAUAAACAAUUUUUUAUCAUGAAAUACCAAUUUUUAUGCAUUUUCAUACAUUACUGAGACGAAAAUUGUAUUGCAAAAUUCAGGGAAAUGUGAAAUCUGAAUGAUAAUUACAUUCCAAACUGCAUAGGAUGGUCUGCUUAAAAAUGUGGACUGAUCACAAUUUUCCUUCUUAUCUAGGUGGAAGCAACCUGUUGUCUCUAGGAUGUUGCCAAGGCUCAGAUCUCCAUACGCUUAGAGCUCAGGGAAGUAUAUGAUCAGGUCUCUACUUGACACUUGAAGGUUCCAUGCUCAGAACUUUUCAUAGACUACAGUGAUGACAAUAUUCUAGAGAAAAGGGG